AUUGAACGCUGGCGGAAUGCUUUACACAUGCAAGUCGAGCGGCAGCGCGGGGCAACCUGGCGGCGAGCGGCGAACGGGUGAGUAAUACAUCGGAACGUGCCCAGACGUGGGGGAUAACUACUCGAAAGAGUAGCUAAUACCGCAUAUGAUCUAAGGAGGAAAGCGGGGGAUCGCAAGACCUCGCGCGUUUGGAGCGGCCGAUGGCAGAUUAGGUAGUUGGUGGGGUAAAGGCUUACCAAGCCUGCGAUCUGUAGCUGGUCUGAGAGGACGACCAGCCACACUGGGACUGAGACACGGCCCAGACUCCUACGGGAGGCAGCAGUGGGGAAUUUUGGACAAUGGGCGAAAGCCUGAUCCAGCCAUUCCGCGUGCAGGAUGAAGGCCCUCGGGUUGUAAACUGCUUUUGUACAGAACGAAAAAGCUCUGGUUAAUACCUGGAGUCCAUGACGGUACUGUAAGAAUAAGCACCGGCUAACUACGUGCCAGCCGCCGCGGUAAAAC
rnacentral:rRNA from 1 species